rnacentral:rRNA from 1 species
GAUGAACGCUGGCGGCGUGCCUAAUACAUGCAAGUCGAGCGAACAGACGAGGAGCUUGCUCCUCUGACGUUAGCGGCGGACGGGUGAGUAACACGUGGAUAACCUACCUAUAAGACUGGGAUAACUUCGGGAAACCGGAGCUAAUACCGGAUAAUAUAUUGAACCGCAUGGUUCAAUAGUGAAAGACGGUUUUGCUGUCACUUAUAGAUGGAUCCGCGCCGCAUUAGCUAGUUGGUAAGGUAACGGCUUACCAAGGCAACGAUGCGUAGCCGACCUGAGAGGGUGAUCGGCCACACUGGAACUGAGACACGGUCCAGACUCCUACGGGAGGCCGCAGUAGGGAAUCUUCCGCAAGGGGCGAAAGCUUGACGGAGCAACGCCGCGUGAGUGAUGAAGGUCUCCGGAUCGUAAAACUCUGUUAUUAGGGAAGAACAAAUGUGUAAGUAACUAUGCACGUCUUGACGGUACCUAAUCAGAAAGCCACGGCUAACUACGUG